AAGACACUAGUAAAAAGGUACAUUACGCCGCCUUGUCGAGGCAGAAUUGUGGGUUAAAUUCCCGCGUGUCUUG
rnacentral:tRNA from 4 species